CAAGAAGAAGAAUUACGGCAGCCUUCGUCGCGCCGCGGUGACGCAUUCGUCCUUGGAAUGCGCACUUCGGAGGGUGCAUUCUGAAUUGGGACAGCUAACGUCUGACGCUGUGACGCAUUCGCACUUAAAAUAUGCACUUUGGAGUCCGCGCACUCCACUUUGGGACACAGCUUAUGAGCUCACGCGGUGACGUAUCGAUCUGCUGUUGGUCACACGGUUUCACGUGAUACGAAUUGGCAGAUCAGAGUUUAGGAAACUUGAAAGAUGCAAUGCAGCGAAACGCCAAACUUUUACACGUGUUUGCUUUUCUGAAUGGAAAUCAAUUGGGCGAAAAGUGGUACCAACUGGGAGAAUCUCCUCUCCAACGCACACUAUACUACGAUUAUGGAGAAAAGAAGAAAGACGCCUGAUUCAACACCGCAAACGAACGAUUAAGCGAUGCAGCCGCUACCAUGAGUACACAAAGCGAUGUGCAAUGAGUUUCUACUAGAGGCCAGCAACUCACGCAUUCGCGAAAAAGAAGAUUCAGCCGCUCCUGUCUUGUGCUCUACAGUGUGGUCCACUUGUCUUUGCACCCUGGGAAGGGCAGUGCUGGCACAAGGCAGUUUUUUUUUCACCACUGAUGGGAAUAAAUAUACUGCCAGACAGGAAGUGAGCAGAAGAUUAGGACGGUGGUGCAGAAUGAUGGCCAUCAACCCUGCAUGUCAACAGCUUCAUUCAGUCAAAAAUGAUGUUUAAAUGGAGGACUUCACAGAGAGGGUCAGUGGCCCUGCAUUUAGGGGUGAUGGUUAUGAGACACAUGUUGUUGUUUUUGCUAAUUUUAAGAUAGUUUCAUUUUUAGAUAUUUUUAAGAUAAAUCAAGUUCUCUCUUAGGACAUUGAUUCCCAAUCCAGCCCUUAAGAUGCAUCAGUUUUUUUUUUUUUUUCCAUUUAUAUUCUUGCAAACUUAAAAUGCUUUCAUGGCUGUAAAUUGUUGAUGCACUGUACUCUGGGUAGCAAACACCAUACUAAAAUGCCGUGUUGGGGAAAGUUACUUUUAAAAGUAAUGCAUUACAAUAUUGAGGUACUCCCUAAAAAAAGUAACUAAUUGCGUUACUUUUUAGGGAAAGUAAUGUGUUUCUUUUGCGUUACUUUUUAUAUCUAAGCAGGGGUUGCUUGUGUUUUUAAUAUAAAAAGUUAUAUUUUUGGCAAAUGUAAAAGCCUUUUCACACCAAAAGCCUCAGGCUUUGAGAAAAGUAAAUUCACGUCUGUACAGUAGACCGCAGAAGAAAAAAAAACAAAAUUACAAAGUACUGUAAAAAUACAGUACAAUACUGUUUUGACGGUAUACAGUACAUUGUUCUACAUACUGUAAAGAUGCAUUACAGUACAUUGCUGUGAAACAA